rnacentral:rRNA from 1 species
GUGAGGAAUAUUGGUCAAUGGACGGAAGUCUGAACCAGCCAAGUAGCGUGCAGGAUGACGGCCCUAUGGGUUGUAAACUGCUUUUAUGCGGGGGUAAAGUGAGUGACGUGUCAUUCAUUGCAAGUACCGCAAGAAUAAGGACCGGCUAAUUCCGUGCCAGCAGCCGCGGUAAUACGGAAGGUCCUGGUGUUAUCCGGAUUUAUUGGGUUUAAAGGGAGCGUAGGCCGUCAGGCAAGCGUGUUGUGAAAUGUCGUGGCUAAACCAUGGACUUGCAGCGCGAACUGCCCGACUUGAGUGCGCAGAGAGCAGGCGGAAUUUGUGGUGUAGCGGUGAAAUGCUUAGAUAUCACGAAGAACCCCGAUUGCGAAGGCAGCCUGCUGUAGCGCUACUGACGCUGAAGCUCGAAAGGGCGGGUAUCGAACAGGAUUAGAUACCCUGGUAGUCC